UGCGGAAUUUUAGAUAAUGGAGGGAACUCUGAUCUAGCGACGCCGCGUGCAGGAAGAAGGUCUUCGGAUUGUAAACUGCUGUGGUAAGGGAAAAAUGCCAUGUAGAGUGGAAAGCUACAUGGAGGGAUGGUACCUUACUAGAAAGCCCCGGCUAACUACGUGCCAGCAGCCGCGGUAAUACGUAGGGGGCGAGCGUUACCCGGAAUCACUGGGCGUAAAGGGAGCGUAGGUGGCCUAACAUGUCAACUGUGAAAACCCGGAGCUCAACUCCGGACUUGCAGUUGAAACUGGUAGGCUUGAGGACGGUAGGGGAAGACGGAACUGCCAGUGUAGGGGUAAAAUCCUUAGAUAUUGGCAGGAACGCCGGUGACGAAGGUGGUUUUCUGGGCCGGUUCUGACACUGAUGCUCGAAAGCCAGGGGAGCGAACGG
rnacentral:rRNA from 1 species